rnacentral:rRNA from 1 species
AACGAACGCUGGCGGCAGGCCUAACACAUGCAAGUCGAGCGCCCCGCAAGGGGAGCGGCGGACGGGUUAGUAACGCGUGGGAAUGUACCCUUUUCUACGGAAUAGCCUCGGGAAACUGAGAUUAAUACCGUAUACGCCCGGUAACGGGGAAAGAUUUAUCGGAGAAGGAUCAGCCCGCGUAAAGAUUAGAUAGUUGGUGGGGUAAAUGGCCUACCAAGUCUACGAUCUUUAGCUGGUUUGAGAGGAUGAUCAGCAACACUGGGACUGAGACACGGCCCAGACUCCUACGGGAGGCAGCAGUGGGGAAUCUUAGACAAUAG